UACGAAGGGGGCUAGCGUUGCUCGGAAUCACUGGGCGUAAAGGGUGCGUAGGCGGGUUUUUAAGUCAGGGGUGAAAUCCUGGAGCUCAACUCCAGAACUGCCCUUGAUACUGAAGAUCUUGAGUCCGGGAGAGGUGAGUGGAACUGCGAGUGUAGAGGUGAAAUUCGUAGAUAUUCGCAAGAACACCAGUGGCGAAGGCGGCUCACUGGCCCGGUACUGACGCUGAGGCGCGAAAGCGUGGGGAGCAAACGGGG
rnacentral:rRNA from 1 species